rnacentral:rRNA from 1 species
AGUGAACGCUGGCGGUAGGCCUAACACAUGCAAGUCGAACGGCAGCACAGUAAGAGCUUGCUCUUACGGGUGGCGAGUGGCGGACGGGUGAGGAAUAAAUCGGAAUCUACUUUUUCGUGGGGGAUAACGUAGGGAAACUUACGCUAAUACCGCAUACGACCUACGGGUGAAAGCAGGGGAUCUUCGGACCUUGCGCGAUUGAAUGAGCCGAUGUCGGAUUAGCUAGUUGGCGGGGUAAAGGCCCACCAAGGCGACGAUCCGUAGCUGGUCUGAGAGGAUGAUCAGCCACACUGGAACUGAGAGACGGUCCAGACUCCUACGGGAGGCAGCAGUGGGGAAUAUUGGACAAUGGGCGCAAGCCUGAUCCAGCCAUACCGCGUGGGUGAAGAAGGCCUUCGGGUUGUAAAGCCCUUUUGUUGGGAAAGAAAAGCAGCAGGUUAAUACCCCGCUGUUCUGACGGUACCCAAAGAAUAAGCACCGGCUAACUUCGUG